AUUGAACGCUGGCGGAAUGCUUUACACAUGCAAGUCGAACGGCAGCACGGACUUCUGUCUGGGGGCGAGUGGCGAACGGGUGAGUAAUAUAUCGGAACGUGCCCAGUCGUGGGGGAUAACGUAGUGAAAAUUACGCUAAUACCGCAUACGAUCUACGGAUGAAAGCGGGGGAUAGAAAGACCUCGCGCGAUUGGAGCGGCCGAUAUCAGAUUAGGUAGUUGGUGAGGUAAAGGCUCACCAAGCCGACGAUCUGUAGCUGGUCUGAGAGGACGACCAGCCACACUGGAACUGAGACACGGUCCAGACUCCUUCGGGAGGCAGCAGUGGGGAAUUUUGGACAAUGGACGCAAGUCUGAUCCAGCCAUUCCGCGUGCAGGACGAAGGCCUUCGGGUUGUAAACUGCUUUUGGAGAGAACGAAAAGGUCUCUAUUAAUGCUAGGGGCUCAUGACGGUACUGUAAGAAUAAGCACCGGCUAACUACGUGAAAGGG
rnacentral:rRNA from 1 species